rnacentral:lncRNA from 1 species
CAUAACUGAUAAGCAAUAUAAGAAAUGUGUUCACGAAAAUACUUUGAAGAAUGAGGUGGUCAUUUUAUUUCAAGGAAACUGCUGUAUUUCAAAUUAUUAAUGGUGAAAAGUACCAGUGCUGUAAAUGGGACACUGGGACAUGUACAAUGUGACAGUGUUGAGCAGUAUGCUGCUGCUUGACAAGGCUCCAGCGUGUUGCCAGUUGUGGUUACUUAUUGACAAGUCGUGGCCUGUGUUUUCAUGCUUUUUCCAAACAGUUAUGCAUUGGUUAUUGUGACAUAUCUCUAAGAGGUAAACCCAUAUGGAUUUAUUGUAAACUCUGGCCAUAGUGGAGUAUCAAGAAAUUACUAUAACCUUGACUUGUGGAAAAUGUGCUCAGGGAGAACCCAGUGGUGGUGUUCUGCUUGGGAGUAAGGUAGUUCUACAAAUGCUUGGAAGUGGUAGAGGAUACACAGUCACACUGUUGUUUGUUUCUGGUUUUGAAUAUCUAUUUACUGCUUAUGACUUGUUACAUGUUUGAGAUACUGUAGUCUAAGCUGUGGGCACCAGGAGAGAAAACAGACAAACAAAUAUCAUCUAAAACCUGUAAUGCAGAUGAAAAAAAAGCAAGAGGAUUGUUCAACAAUCAAAAGAAACAAACAAAAAGAAACAGAGCACAGCCCGUGUUCCUCCACCAAGGGCCCUGAGUCCCUACAGCAGUUUAUUGGGGGUGUGGAUUAACAUGGUGGUUGGUUUCUAAGUAUUCCAGCUCUAUUAGAGGUAAAAAAUGGUAUUGGCCUUUACUCGCUGGAAUAAUUGAUAUGUGUGUUGUAAAUGCAUGGAUUAUUCACAGUUUUGUGAACAAAGACAAGAAAGAUCUCUAAAUUUGUUGUCUCCAAAGAGACAUCUGCAUAUAUUAAUUAGGAAGCAACAAGAACCCAUCAGGAGGAAGAAAGCAAAACUUGUGGAACUGCUCCCGCCCAAGAUGGCAUCAGACCUGACAUAGGGAGCCAUGCUGUUCUCAAAG